AGAUGUGAGAGUGAUAUGGCUAUGACAAAUGUCAGCCCAUUGAUUGUCAGAGUUGAUUCAGCUGAUCUGGCUGACUAGGCAGCUGUUCCCUUCCUCCCUCAUCACUGCAUGUGUGCCCCUCCUUAAGCUGUGUGCUGGAUCAAAGAGGAUGAUCAGCUUUCCAAUAGCAGAAGGUCCACAGUAAUUGUGCUCCCUUGCUAGAACCUCCAAAUCAGCUCUUGAGAUCAACCAUCACAGAGAGACACAGACUAGAUGAUAGCUCAAGACCAAAAUGGAGGCACAAGCAGAGUUGUCCCCCU
rnacentral:snRNA from 1 species